rnacentral:rRNA from 1 species
CAGUAGCCACGGUAAUACGUAGGUUGCAAGCGUUAUCCGGAAUUAUUGGGCGUAAAGCGCGCGUAGGUGGUUUUUUAAGUCUGAUGUGAAAGCCCACGGCUCAACCGUGGAGGGUCAUUGGAAACUGGAAAACUUGAGUGCAGAAGAGGAAAGUGGAAUUCCAUGUGUAGCGGUGAAAUGCGCAGAGAUAUGGAGGAACGCCAGUGGCGAAGGCGACUUUCUGGUCUGUAACUGACGCUGAUGUGCGAAAGCGUGGGGAUCAAACAGGAUUAGAUACCCCAGUAGUCCCUGUCCCUUAUAU